UCAACCAUCAAGCUUGGCUUGUAGUUGGACUUUUGGUUAAGGAAGCUCCUGGACCAGUCCAAAAGAUAAUGAACGAGUACUUAGCAACCCUCGAUGCAACGAGCUUUUUAAAAGCACGCAUUAUACGGUUGAUAAGCGUCGUUUUCAACCCACCAUUUUUCUAA
rnacentral:misc_RNA from 1 species